rnacentral:rRNA from 1 species
GAAGGAUAAGAGUUUGAUCCUGGCUCAGGACGAACGCUGGCGGCGUGCCUAACACAUGCAAGUUGAGCGGAGAUAUAUGGAGCUUGCUUUAUAUAACUUAGCAGCGAACGGGUGAGUAACACGUAGAUAAUCUAUCCUAUACUGGGGGAUAGCCCGAUGAAAGUUGGAUUAAUACCGCAUAUAGCUAUAUAGUUGCAUGAUUAUGU